GCAGUCGUGGCCGAGUGGUUAAGGCGAUGAACUAGAAAUCCAUUGGGGUCUCCCCGCACAGGGCGGAAUCCUGUCGACUGCG
rfam:Ixodes scapularis strain Wikel colony gcontig_1107728850212, whole genome shotgun sequence.